rnacentral:lncRNA from 1 species
UGAGUCAAUACAAGACGAUGAUAAAAGACACUUGCCCAACAUGCAAUGCAGUGGCAUCAAAGAUACACUGCGACUGUGAUAUGAACUUUUUAAGUAUUUGACCAUACGCACACACGCAUACACACAUAUACGUAGGUAUAGAUAUGUAAUUAUCAAUAUAUAUAUUUACAUACAAACAUAUGCAUAUAAACACAUCUAUAAGGAGUAAAUAUAUAAACACACAUAUGCAAACGUGUAUAUAUAUAUAUAUAUAUAUAUAUAUAUAUAUAUUAUAUAUAUGUAUGUAUGUAUGUAUAUACACAAACACACACACGCAUACACAUAUAUACAGAUAUUUGCCUAUUUUUAUACAUCAUUCACAUAGUUAUAUAUGUAUACACAAACAUAUAUACAUAUAUGUAUGUGUGUGAAGGCAUACAUUUACAUUGUAUGUCUAUAUAUCUAUCUAGCUAGCUAUCUUUAUAAAUAUGCCUAUAUAUGUAUACAGCAUGGGCAUGGUUAUAUUUAUACACACGUAUAUAUAUAUAUAUAUAUAUAUAUAUAUAUAUAUGCAUAUAUAUGAGCAUACAUACUCGUAUUUAUGCAUAUAUUUAUGAGUGUGCGUGUGUGUUUUUUUAAUACACCACAUAUAUAUAUAUAUAAAUAUAUAUGCUUAUAUAAUAUACUUCUAUAUGCUUGUAUACGUUUGUAUAUAUAUAUACAUAUAUAGGGGAGGGGGAGAGAUGGUGAUGAUAUAUAUAUAAAUCUGUGUGCGUGUCAGAGUGGGAUCUUUCAUUGGCAAUAUGCAUGAAAUAUAUCGAAAGUCUCACUGCCGGAUUUUUUUCCCAUUGAAAUAUACGAGUGUUUUUAAAAUACAUAAGUGCACACACUACGCACGCACCACGCAAAUAUGCGUUUGAAUGCAUUCGUUCGUCUGUUCGUAUGCUUAUGCAUAUUUGUGUAUAUGACACGUGUGUCAAAACACUAUUGCAAUCUAGAGAGGUAAUAUAUUAUUGUUUUCAUCAUUAGCGUGAACAUUAUCUCCGGAGUUACAUCGUUGACUUGCUACUCAUCACCACUACUAUUAUUAUCGUUAUAAUCACUAGUAAACUGAGUCAAGUGAUGUUUGUCUGAACAGGACAAAGUGUUAAAAAAACAUGGUAAAUACAUUUUGGAGAAUUUUAAACAAAGAUUGGCAAAAACACACCAGUUGUGUUCGUGCGUUUUAUUGUGGUCGUGCAUAGUUCGUUCUUAUGUGACAGAUAGCAGCAUGUUCUAGUUGAUGGAAACAAGACACUUGCAGCUUGGUUAUGUCAAUAGCUUGUCGGACGGUUUGAUAAAGAUGAGAAUCACUAAAGCUCAGAAAAUUCAAUUGUAGCAGAUUGACAGUUUAUUGGGAGGAAAGAGGGGUGAGGAAGAGACAAAAGGCUUGAAAGACAGGCGUAUGUGUCGGAGAUGUAUGUGCGACAGACCUUAAGUGACUGUCAAACAGUUAUCCCUAAUCAAAUUCAUUUACCUACCUGCCAAAGAAUUCAUAUCAUCCAAUAGAGUAAUCCUUCAGCGAUGACGAUGUAUACGACGGCGAAGAAAAAGAAAGAGAAACCACUACAACAGCAACAACAUCAACAGGAACCAUUGCAAAUCAAGCCAGCCGUUAGAGUCUGUUCUUCGUAUAUGAUCGAGUUAACUACUCUAUACGAUUUAUCUAUCUCUCUCGCUUUUACUCAAUCAUUCAGUCGCUCUCUCACUCACCCAGUCUCCCUCACACUCAACAACCCCUUCUCUCUCUCUUUAGCUAGUUGGCAUUUCGUUGUUAUUGUAGUUAUUGAUGUUAGUUUAGCUAUCAACACUGAUGUUAUUAUUUUGGUGUGAUUUUUGUUUUGAUAGUGACAUCUCUUUCAAUAAUUGCAACAAUAAUAAUAGUGCAUUCUUAAAUUUUGAAGACUAUUUAACUCUUUCCUUUCUCUCGAUAUAUUUUUUUAUUUUUAUUUUCGCUUUUUGGGGUGAAGAUAAUAGAGAAUAUGAAGCUCUCUCUCUCUUUCUCUCUCUCCUUACCCACAAACAUAAAAAGAGAGAUAGAAAACGAAAGUUAAGUGAAGAGUAUUAGUUCUCUUAUGACUAAAUUGCAGAGGCUGUUCAAUCUUACUAUGGGUGGGUUGUAGGUUGUGGAUACAUAUACACUCCUCACAUUUUGAUCUGUCUCACACUUUGCUUCUUUAUUCAUCACUUCUAUCACUAAUCAUCUUUCCUAUCUUUAAUCUGAUUGAUUUUUUUUUUAAAUGUAUUUUACUCUCUCUCUCUCUCUCUCUGACCCCCUUUAUUGUUCUUUCCCUUUAACUUCUCUAUUAAUCUUAUUCUUUUUCUUCGUAAUUGAAGUGCUCUUUUCUAUUGUGUUCUGUAAUUCUUCUUUCAUUUCUCUUUCCUUUUUGUCUCUCAUGUUCAUAUUUCUCUUUCGGUGUAUCCUCUCUUUAAUUUAGCUUCUUUUCUUUCUUUAUCUUACUCUCAUUUCUCUUGGGUUUUUUUCUUUCUCUUUCUCUAACAUACGUCUCUUUUCGGCCAUUCUAUCUCUCUCUCUCUUUCUCUCUCCACUUUAUUCUUCUAUUAACUCGUUAUCACUUUUUAUCAUCAUUUCCCUUGCCCUCUUUCAUCACUCCCUCUCUGUCAGUAUUUCUAUCUUUCUUUCUCUUCCCAAUUACUUCCUCCCCUUUGUUUCUCCUGCCUUCUUAUUUCCAUUCGCUCAUUACUUACGUUAUCAUUCUUUCGCUGGCAGUUAUUUCAUUUCAUUUUUUAAAAUCUAAUGUUUCGCUGCAUCUCUUAUUUCUACUUUCAAUAUUGGGUCUCUCAGUUUUGUUUUUCAGUUUUCGUGUCCCAUUUAGUUGGGGUUUUUUUCUUCCUCUUUUAUUGACUUGUGCUGUUUUCUUCUUUCACUCUCAUUUCUGUUUCUUUUAUUCUUUCUUUCUCGUCUCAUUUUCACUUCUCACUUCACUGAAUUUUCUCCCUCCUACAUUUCGGAGACCUAAGCUUCAAUGAUUCCUGUUUAACUAUUAUGAUCCAAUCCUCAAAAUUCUCAUUCAGCUGUUUUCUUUCUUAAAGACCAUUUACUUAUCUGUCAAUGUUUCUUUUCAUCUGAUCCAUUUCAAUCAAGCGACCCUGUAUCUUGUCUUUUCUUACACUGCUUCUUCCUUUACCAUCAUCAUCAUCAUCAUCAUAUCACCACGACUAUCUAUCUAUCUAUCUAUCUAUCUAUCUAUCUAUCUAUCUAUCUAUCUAUCUAUCUAUAUAUCUGUCUAUCUAUCUAUCUAAUCUAUCUAUCUAUCUAUCUUGUGUGUGCCUGUGUUAUUGUCAUUAUAAUUUCUUCCUUGAUUUAUUGUUUCUUUUUCUUUCAUUCCUUAGAUCCAUUCUCCUUUUUCGCUCUUUCUCUAUUCUAUUCUUUGUUAUACAUUUCUGUUUCCUCGACUUUUUCUCCUUUUGUAUCUCCUUUUCUCAGUGUAAUCAUCCUUCCUUCUCUGUCUCUCCUGUACAUAUUGUUAUAAUUAGUAUCUCAUUAUGUAUAUACUUGAUUGUGUGUGUAUGCGUAUGUGCGUGUUUACGUUUUGCGAUUUUAGUUCUUUUUUCCUUUCCAUAAUGGUAUUCAUUUCAUUUAUUUAUUUAUUAUUAUUAUUUUUUUUUCAUUUCCUUUCCUAAUAUACCACUUAUAUCCAGUUGCAUUCAUUCAACAAGUCAAAUUGAAGAGAAGCUUCUCGCAGGACUCAACCUUGAUCAAAGUCCGUAUUGUUUCAAUUCGCUGUUAAUUCCUCUUUGCCUUGAAGGUUAAUAUGAAGUUCUUGCUUCCUACAUCGAAUGGAACUUGAUUUCCUGGCCUCAACUUUCAUAAGCUUUCAAUUCUUCGGAGAUGGUAAAUAAUAAUCCUAGGUUUUUGUAGAACUGUGAUUAAGCCAUGUAAAUCAAACAUGAAUAAUGACAACGCCCACCACAUCCAUCGAAACAGAAAGGAAUGGAUAGAUGGAUGGAUGGAAUGAAUGGCAAAAAGAAAGAGAUAAGUUGACAGAACCGUGAAAGAACAUUACGGCGUAGCGGAGUGACAAAUGUAGUGAGUCCUUCCUUGUGUGAGUGGCCUCCUUAACCCUCUCAUGGAGGUAACCCUAUCAGAAAUAGAUGAAUAAGACACAUGGACAGGCGUAGAAACAAUGAAACAAACGGAUAGAUAGACAAUCAUAGGAAUGCGAGAGAUGUAAAGUAAAAGGUGAGAGAAAGAAUGACUGCAUCAGUGAAUGCUUAUAUAUAAAUAUUAAUGUGGGAAUUUGGGUUGACAAAAUCGAUAGCGCAUCAGACAAAAUAACAUGUGGCAUUUAGUUGCGACCAUUUAUUAUGUUCUGAGUUCAAAUUACACCAAGGUCAACUUUUAUUUUCAUUCCUCUUGGAAGUAAAUGAUAAAAUAUGUUUUUGUCAAGUACUGAGGUCAAUUUAUAUUUCAAUAAUGCGUACCAUAUUCUUUAUCUCUUACUCUUUUCAGUCAUUGGACUGCGGCCAUGCUGGGACACCACCUUAAAGGGUUUAGUCGAACGAGUCGACCCCAGUACUUUUUUUUUUUGAAUUUGGUACUCAUGCUAUCAUCUCUUUUGUCGAACCGCUAAAUUAGAGACGUAAACAAACCAACACCGGUUGUCGAGCACACACACACAAACACACGAUGGACUCCCACACGGUUUCUGUCUACCACAUUCAAUGAUGAGGCGUUGGUCGACCUGGGACUAUAGAAGAAAACACUUGCUCAAGGUACUGUGCAGUAGAACAGAACCAGAAAUCUGGAAAGAAAGGGAAAUAUAGAGAUGAAAAUGAAUUCUGGCUGCAAAAUUUAAACUCAGAACUGAGGGAAUGGAACUGGCCACCAAAGAACAUUUUGUCAUUCCAUCACUGAUACUAAGUUCUGAUAUUCCUUAGAAAGUAUCUUGCUCAGGUUUGAAAGGAACUUUUUAAGUUCAGAUCUAUGUGAAUCUUCCUCACAGGGCAGUGGAGACAACAAGGUAAAGUUGACAAACUGGAUGCUUUACUGUUCUGAGAUCAACUUAGCUGAACCAUCUUUACUUGUCUUCUCUUUCUAGUAUGAAUAAAAU